GCAAAAUCAGUAGGAGCAGAAGUAGAAGGUAGCCGAGUCCCUGAAAUGGUGGGGCACAGGUUUAGGAGAAAUGGGCGUCUGGAGCUGAGGGGAUGACAGGAUAACCAGGUCACUACAGCUGCUGUGUCCAGAGGGCCACUGCACUCCAGCUGCAUCCUGCGCCGCUUUCCUGUUGCACGAGGUUUCUCUGCAGCCAUGGAGACACUUCCCUCCUUAUUUCUCUGUUUGAGUUUUCUUUAACUAAGACAGAAGCUUGCAUCCCUAGAUUAAAGGACUUCACUUGAAAGAGUCGUGACCACCAGUUGCUGCACUGAUUUCAUAAUGGCCUUUAGGAUUCCAGAGUGGCUCAAGGGUCACAAGGAUUUAUGAGCUUAUAUUACAGAAGAAAAAGUAUGCCUUCAAAGAUGACCAGAUAACCAGCUCCGAGAUGCCAUUGAUGCCCAGAAGUCAGAUUGCCCAGGGGCUUAUCAGGAGUGAAAGAAACAUGGAUUUCCCCUUUGCAUCUCUGAAACUCCUCCUGCAAAGCCCUUUAGCUCUACAAACACCCCUGCUUUCUUCUCUUAUUAAAGCGGAUUUGAG
rnacentral:lncRNA from 1 species